GACGAACGCUGACGGCGUGCUUAACACAUGCAAGUCGAACGGGCUCUGUCUGGCUGUGUGCUGGGUGGGGUUAGUGGCGAACGGGUGAGUAAUACGUGAGUAACCUGCCCUCUUCUUUGGGAUAAGCCUUGGAAACGGGGUCUAAUACUGGAUAUUCCUGUCUGGUCGCAUGGCUGGGUGGGGAAAGUUUUUUCGGUGGGGGAUGGGCUCGCGGCCUAUCAGCUUGUUGGUGGGGUGAUGGCCUACCAAGGCGUCGACGGGUAGCCGGCCUGAGAGGGUGACCGGCCACACUGGGACUGAGAUACGGCCCAGACUCCUACGGGAGGCAGCAGUGGGGGAUAUUGCACAAUGGGCGCAAGCCUGAUGCAGCGACGCCGCGUGGGGGAUGACGGCUUUCGGGUUGUAAACCUCUUUCGUCGGGGGACAAGGCUCUGCUUGGUGGUGGGGUUGAGGGUACCCGGUGAAGAAGCGCCGGCUAACUACGUG
rnacentral:rRNA from 1 species